rnacentral:lncRNA from 1 species
CCGUGUUAAGAUAGUGGCAUGUGACUCGAAGCUGCUGACACAGUGAGAAAGCUGCAUACUGGGCCGAUAUUGAGUAAUAUUAGCUGCUGAUGUCACCUAUUUGCCAGAUGGUGCAAAAGACUGGUAAGAGGAGUUGGCGGAAGGGAUAUGGAAGCUCAUUCAUGUAGUUGUAUUUGUAAGUGAGGGGGAAACUGGAACUCUCAUUGUAUAAAUCCCAGAUCAUUGUAAACUGAGUGUUUCUUGACUACUUGACAUAUACAUAUUGGAUAGUCUUUAAUUCUUUCUUCAUUCUUGAGAAGGUGGUUCGAUUUCAUAGCAUGUUUCUGUGUUUUUGUUCAAUAGAAAACCAGCGUGCUUGUUGUUGUGAGGUCUAGUUGCAUUUUGUGGAUAUCUGAGCAGAGCUGCGAAGAUGCUAGCGAUAAACUUUGCAUUAUGCUGCUUUAUUCUUGGAACUACUUUCAUUCAACAGAAACAAAGACCAUUAGAUGGAUGGCUGGAUUGAAUUUGUUUUCCUUCCCCGUUUUAUUGACAUCCCUGUGAGCUCUUCUUCUGUUCCAUCCUCUUUCUUGUGAUUAUUCCUCUGAAAUUAAGCAUCAGGAAGCAUGGAGCCAUCAGUCGAAUGUUCGUCUGAUAACAGCAUGAAUCUAUCAUGCCAGUGCUAAAACAUUUGUAUGGUAUGAUUUCUCUAAAUACGUAGGCCACAGGUGACGACACUGCCUUCUCUUUGAAGAUGACGUGAAAGAAAGAAAGGGUAUCCAACACAGGAUAAUAACGUGACUUCACAAUUAAAUCAAAUAUUUAUUUUUAUAAUGCACAUCUCUAAUUUCUCAUAAAUAAAUAAGAUUAAUUUUUUAAAAUAAUCACUUUUUUCUUGAAAAAUAAAAUAUUAACUUUCAUUAAAUUUUUUACCUUUCCGAUUUUUUAUCUUCUAAAAACUAAUAUUAUUAACUUGUGAUUUUCAAUAAUAUAUAUUUUUCUGUCCCUCAAAAAUAUUAAUAUUUUUCCCUUAAAUGGGAAGAUGUCAUAAUAAUUCAUACUUAAUUAAUAAUACUCUAUCGAAUUAAUUUAACUCCAUGACAUAAUUUAAAUCAAAUAAAAUGCAAAUAAUAAUAUAAUAAAUAGUACUAAUUUUCAUUGUCAUUGCCUCCAAAUCGUUCUCAAAUAUGCUCGAACGAGUCCAAUCGAAGUUGAUGAUGUAUUUCACGAUCACAUAGUUUCGCAUUCCUUUGAAGGUAAUUUUGAAAAUUUUCAACAGAACCUUGAGUCACACGAAUUGUUAGAUGUUAUCAAAAAUUUGGGAUUUCAAGUAACUGUACAAUUUUGCAUCAUAUUGUAAAUAUGAUAUGCAUGAUGCGCGUAAUGGCCAUUUGUGAACUCCCCCAAGCAGCGUUGAAUGGAGGAGCGUACCGUUGGAGCCACCCUAAAGUAAAGGUAGUCGAGCCUUGAGGAGGCAUUUUGGUGCGACAAAACUCGAGGAUUUUGGUACCAAGGAAUAUCCGCAAGUACUAAUCAGCAUCCUUUCCCAAUUGCAUGCCACUAUUUCAUUCGUGAACCUGCACUUUCGUUUCGGGUUGGGCGGUGGAUCAUGGCUUGUCCUACUCUGCAAGUUGCAACGGUGCAAAUACAAACCACAUAAAACAUUAACCACAUAAAACAGUGGUUAAAUCAACCACGACAUCGCUUCUAGCCCACGUAAUUAAGCUCCGAUAAGAUUAAAAAAAAAAAAAAGUGCUAGGAGACGAAGAGGAGCCAAAAGUUUCGUAAGAGGGCCAAUUGCCUAGUUUUUUAUUCUUUUUGUCUUCACCUGUUAAUCUGUGACAUAAUCGUUGAUCCCUUAAAGAUGUUCUAUUGAAACAAAAAAAAACUAGUGAAGCUAUACUUCUAGACUUGUGAGUGUAAUAAAACUAAUACGGAUGAAUAAGAACAAAAUGUCAAGUAUUUAUAGAGUUAAGUCCUCAAGGUUGCCUCAAAAGUUACCGAUUUUUGGGAUUAAGUUUAACUAACUAAUUUCAAAAGUCUGGAAAAAAAAAGUGUUCCCGAUAUUAUAAACAAGUUAGAGACUUUUAAUCAUAUACAAAACAAGAUUAAUGGUACAUAAAAGGGUUAAUUAUAAGAUUACCCAAGCUUAAACUUUAAAAUGGGACACUUAAGAUGACUUUUAAUAAAAUGGGACACUUCAACCACCACGACAUAUUCUAUUUACAAAACAAGAUUGAAGUGGGUAAUGGUACAUAAAUAUACGAAGGAAUUAAAUGGUCAUCCAUAUCAGUCCUUUUGUUGCUUCAUAUUCUAAUCUAGAGAAACUCGAUGAAUAUAGGAAAAAUUCAAUGAACAUGUGGAACUCAAUGUACAUCCAUCUCUUUUAGUUGUUUUAUAACGUUGAGUGAGUCCCUAGGAAGUUGGCGAGUGAAAGGAAAAAAAAAUAUUGUGAUGUUGUCCUAAAAUUCAUAUGAAAAGGAAAAAAAAAAAAAAGAAAUUCUUAUAGCUCAGUUUUCAAUUUCAAAUUUUGAGGCAAUGAUGGAAAAAAAAUGUUUGAAUAAAGGGGUAUUAUUUGAAAUAAUUAUUGUACAGUAACUUUUUUUUUUUUUUUUGUAAUGCAGUAUAUAUGAGAUAAAAGAACAGUUAAAAAAAACGUGUUUAUAAUAUAAGUAAAAUAAUAUUUGAUAAAACAAAAAAUUUGCAUCCAAGCACACUACUCCAUUUCAUAUGGUGGAGGAAGCUUGGUAUAAUUGUAAUGGGAUCAAUAAGAACAUAUUCACAAUUCAUAAAAAUGUCUAAAGAGCUAUAUUGGCACAGCCAGCCAAGAGAUGAUUAGCAAUAGGGUAAGCUAUGAUUAUCGCUUCAAAUGCAAAGUCUUAGGAUGUAUGACAGAAUAGCAACCGUUUGCCACAUGGAUGCAAUGUCCUACUAUGAUGAUUGAUGAUGCCACUCAAGUUGGUGCAAGUAUUGACCAAAGACUUUUUACAAAAUUCCCUUUUUUUUUUUUUUUUUUCAUUUUGCUGUUGGCAUAUUGCUGUGGAUGAAAUUCCAGUUUCCAAUCCAUGUCUGUGGUUUUCAUGUCUUGGCUUGGAAGUCCAGUCGUCAAACUUCUGUCCUCAUCGCUUUCUGAUUUAUGGCCCAUCUGAACUUUUCCACAAAUGCUUUAUACUUCUUUCUUGCACCCCCUCUUCUCAUAUUGGUGGGUACAAAAAAAUUCUAAGCUCAAUAAAAUCCUUAAUCAUAUGUAUGUAUAUAUAUGCACAGUUUUCAAUCAUGCAGAUAUUUUGCAUGUUGAGACAUGGAGAAGGUCAUCUGACUUCUGUUCUCCUACUUUUCUUUUCUUCAGAAGCAAUGAUAUGGAUCUUUUUUUCUUUUUUUUUUUGUCGACACAGGGGUGUCCGGGUCAAUCCUUACGGGGUCCGACUAAUCCCCUGUAAUCCGGGUCCAGCGCCCCAACCCGACCCAAGCACGAUAAGUGCGCGGAGGAAUCCAACAGAGCAAAGAUUCGAACUCGGGACCAAAUGGUCACCAAUGGGAGGUGCUACCGUUGGAUCAUUCACGCGGGCAAAAUAUGGAUCAACCUGAACCUUUUGUUUGUAACUUUUGCUUUUAACCUUUUGUUCAGGUUGAUAUGGAUCAACCCGAACCUUUUGUUUUCAACUUUUAGGUUUCUCCUUUUAAACCCUUUUUUUCUUUGGAAAUGGUGACCAGCCUUUCAAUUUGGUUUUGGCAUGUACCUUUUUCAUCGAUCUGUGCAUUUUGUUCUUCACUAAUGUGUAGAUUCACGGAUUUGAGAGUGCAUUUUUUUAUUAAAGAGUAUAAUGUAUUGCUGAAACUGAACAAUGUAAAUAUUCUCGCUCUGUUUGUUUGUUGAAAAAAGAAUUGAUCGUGCAAUGUAUAAAAUAGUUCAAGAAAUCAUACAAACCAAUAUCAUGAAUGACAACAAUAUAAAAUUUAAAUUUGAAAUUCAAUUUUUGCACAUGUGUCAUAGAUUCAACGGUGAUAAUGUGUGCACUGUUAGUGUACAUAAAAUUCAAUCUAAUCUAUAUUACUAGUUGGAAAGUAGGUUGGUAACUUUGGAUACAUGUUUUUGGUAGGGGCCAAAAAAAGAUUCUCAUCCUAGUUUGGAGACAAAUCAUUAAAGCAAAUUGAUAAUUUGAUUUAGAACCCAGUAAACUCGUUUACAAAUUUACUCUAUGAGGAUAAAAUCCAAAAUCAUAUCAUCAUUGCCUAAUCAUAUUUCAUUGAUAAGUUGUUUUCUUUGUUGUUGAUUAUGAUUGUUGUAGUGAUUUGAUUACACAUCUAUUGGUGUGCAAAUUAAGGAAUUUUUUUUUUAUUAAAACAAUGGAAGUUAUUAGAAGUUUACUUUUUUUUGUUGCAAAAAAGGUUAUUAUUUCUUUUUUUUUUUUUGCAAACAAAGAAAUUAUUGGAACUUAAAAUAGUGGAAGUUAUCUGAACUUUAGUAGUUAUAUUUAGUAAAUUUUUACUUUUGUGACGUUAAAUUUGAAAAAAAUAAAAGAUGACAAAAAUUUUUAACACCAAAUCCAUGCUCAAACUUUAUAUAUAUAUAAAGAUAAUAAUUUUGUCUUGGGUAACUUAUUCUAAUUCGACUCAAGCUUCCAGUGGCUUUGAAAAAAGAACAAAGUAAGCACACAUCAUAGCAAGAUUUACUCUUUUAUUUCAACCAUUUUUCUCUAUUCCGAACCAAAGAAGUUGAGUCGGGAUAAGAUUUUAUCAAAUAUAGCAAAGGAAGUGCUCUAUUUUACAUAUUUUGAGACAAAUUUUCAUGACAUUAAAUGAAAGCAAUACGAGGAAAUAAAUAAUUAAGGACGACCGAUAAAAUGAGCUAAGUGUUAUACAUUUAAUAGUUUAUACUAAAGAUGAUAUAUAUAUAUACAUACACACACACAUAUAUUAGACCAGUUCAUCUAAAAAAACUAAGUGGAAGUAAAUAAUUAAGUCAAUAAUAUUAUCCUUUGAGGAAAAUAAAAUCCAUCAUGUUUCAAGCUGGCUGUUGUCUGUGAGGAGAUCAUGUAAUAAAACUUCCAUAGACGCAAAAAAAAAAAAAAAAAAAAAAUCCCAAUGGCUCUCAAACAUAUUACAUGAACAUACAUUUAAAGAAUACCAUGAGAAUUUGUAACUGGUUUAGAAAUAUUGACACCAUCAAAAUUGUUAGUGAUAUUAUCUAAUCAUGUUAAUAAUAUCGAGGAUAUUACUGUGAAAGCCAAAGAUGCGUUUCAUCUUUCAUCUACCAACAUGUUUAAUUGAAACUUUUUUCUAGUAAAAUUAAUUUGUAACUACUAUUCCCUAUAUAUAUAUAUAUAUAUAUAUAUAUAUAUAUAUAUAUAUACAUAUAGUUAAAUAUAUUCAUGGUUUUAGAGUAAAAUGUUAAUGGGAAUUCCUAAUCUUUUGAUAAUUAUAUGUUUGAUAAUCUAAGGCAAUAUGCAUGGAGAAGUAUGAUCUCAUAAUUUGACUUAGAGCACUAUGCUCUUUGAUACUUGAACAGUAUAAAACAGGCAAAUUAAACAUAGAUCAUCUACUCUGUCUAGGUUACAAAGCACCAUCAAGUUACACGCUACUACAAAAUUAAACUAACAAAAUUCAUAACGUCAUCUGCGUGUUAACUACUUUCAUAAACCAAAUAUCUAAAAACGUAAUUCACUAAUUGAUCAAUAAUACAUCUCGAGUUUGUUUGGAUAGUGUAUUAUUUGAAAUAAUUACUGUAGCACUUUUUGUGAUGUGAUGUAUGUGAGAUAAAAAGGUGGUUGGGAAUAUAAAAAGGUGUGUUGGAAAAUGUAUCUAUGAUGCAAGCGAAAUAUUAUUUGGGAUAAUUGGGGUAUCCAAACACACUAAAUAUCUCUACUUGCACGUACCGACAAUUACAUGUUGACUAUAAUCGUAAUACGUAAUCGCUAUAUAUAUACAUCGACAGUUUCAAGCGUAUUUAUUGGAGCCGCUUAUAAACACCGACACGAACAUAUCCGCUGCCAAAAGGGUUGCCUCUUGGCUUCCAAUGCCAUCACAUCUCAAAAAUCUCGUAAUCCACAAAUUUCUCAAACAAAAAGAUACUACAAUUUGUUAAAAGAAAAGGAUUAAAACUUGGAGAGGAACUCUUCUCAAAGCCAAUUAUAUAAAGGUAAGAAUAAAGAACAACCUAGAACGAAAGGGACUAAAUUGCAAAACCGCCUUACUGUUUGGAAAAAAAGAGAGAGCCCAUGUAUCGCUGAGACUUCUCUUCUCCAUUUCUUUAUACAGUGCACGUCAUCAAAUAUUAUAUAUAUAAAACCCUGCCACAGCCCAGGCCCCUUGAGUCUUGCCCCAGGGUUACAUAAUUUCUCCUCUCUUCUGAGACCCUUUUUGUCUUCUUAACCUAUUUCCUCUCGAAUUAAACCAAUCCCCAAAUCUUCUCCAAAAAAUUCUCUGUACAGUUAUACCUUUUUGAUGUCCGAAGCAUCCACCGUUUUGCAGGUCAGCCACUUUGUCUUUUUAUGUUUGUCACAUAAAAGUCUGUAGUGUUUAUGGGGGGUUUUUUUUGGUAUUUAGGGAUGGUUUUCGUUUUAUUUUCAAUAUCGAUUUAGGGUUUUGUUGAUUUAAUUUGUCGAUUUUCGAGCUUAAAAUUGUUUGUUUUGAUGCUAACUUCUGUUAUUUAUGUUUUAUUGUUUGUGGUUUUGGUGAAUACAGUAAAUAGAUAUAGGGAAGUAGACUUUGGAUAUGGCGAGCUUAAGAUCGAGCUUGCCGUCACGGCUACGGCAACUUCUGUCCGGUGACGGAGCAAUCGGUCCCUCUGCUAAACUUGACUCCGAGCCUGUAUGCCUUCAAUUUACUUACACUACUUUCACUACUUACACUACACUAGUACACACAGAGAAACACAUAUACGCGUGUAUAUUAUAACUGUUCAAGUGAUGCCUAGUUUAUGUGAUGGUAUUUACUGGUGAUUCAACUUGAGGGUUUUGUAUUUUGGGUUUAAUUUAUUGCAAAAUGUUUUCUUUGUGGCAAUGUGCAAGUAAUUUUCUGUUGUAUUGUGAGCCUGGAUAUGGGUAUUGCUUUCUUUGCUGAAAAAUGCACUUGUUUGAUUUCUUUUAGCAGUAUUAUGUGCUUUCAGCCUAAUGGUUAGUAUAUUGAAAGAUAAAAUUAAAUGUGAAAUGGCUUAAUUUGCCUAGGGAAAUUCAUAUCAACCUUGACAAACGCAAUUAACUUUUUAUUUGCUUUGAUGCUUAAUAGAUGCGGCAGCAUUGGAGAUUUCGUUUGAUUUAAAACUUCUGUCUUUGUUUUUUGGUUGUUCAGCUUCUGUGUAUUUUAAGAGUUACCAAGGAGGAUAUGGUGCUCUUUUUUGUAGUCUAUGUUGCUUUAUGAGCAUUAUACUUUGUAAUGUCUUGGUCUUACGCUUUCUCAAGGACUUGCGUGGCUUAUUUUUUUUGUGAACUAAGGUCCUUCUUCUAAUUUCCUUUCCAUUGUGUUCUUGAAACUUGGAAUUUGUGACAUACAUUGGUUUUACUCCACUUUGCUAGUGAAUGACUUUAUUUGAAGGAAUUGAAGUAAGCGAAAACCUUCAUGAGUAAAUUCUCUGUUCUUCCUCAGUAAAUGCGUCUUUUUAUCUUAAGUUCUCUAAGCAGUUUGCUUCUCAGAGGGGUACUUUUUAUGUAUUUUUAGAUUUAUUAAAUUGAAAAUAUUUUGGGCUGAAGUAGUAUAUAGUUAGAAUUUAUGAUUUUUUUUCCUCCUUAAACUUUGUGGAAUAUACAAUAUGUGCUUUUCUUGGUGGUCAGUUUAGUUGUAUCUAGAUGGUUUGUUCAAAUUUUGCAUUUGUUGCAUGUAUUCAAUUGGUUAAAUGCGUGUAUGUCAUAUUGUUGAGUCAUGAAUAAUGCAACUUGGACCUGAUUAUGGUGGUUCAAAGGCUUGUACAUCUUAGCAAGACUUAGUGGAGGAUUUGUAAGUUUCAAGACUUGCAUGGACACAUUCAUUUUGUAAUUCAGUUCAAUUUUGUUGUUAGAUCACUUUCAAAUUCCUGAACUCUUAGUGCUCAGUUGAAUUUCUUUUCUCUUUUGUUCUUGCUAUAAAUAUAUAGAAUUAGGAGAAGCAUCGCUGCUCCUAAUUAUGUCAGUUGUUGUGUUUCCACUUCAAGAUUAUGUUGCAAGUUUACUUAUUCUUGUGGUUAGAAUACUGUUCAAAUUUAAAGAAAUGGAAAAGGAUUUUUAUAAGAUCUGGAACAUUGGUAGCUACAAAAGGAGAAAGGGCAUCUUUUUACAUAAUUAAUGUGUUGGACGUUAGAAGGAUCGAGGAAAACCUCAUAGUAGGUAUAGCUAAUUAUGCUACUGAGGAUGUGGUUUGCUUUGCCCUUGUGUUCUUGACCCUUUCUUCUUUGGGGGAUUUGAGUGGUUUAGCCUGUCCCCCAAUAUUGUGUUUCAUAUGCUUUCAUUUGCAUAAUUUUUGAAGCAUUGCAUGUCAUGCUUCUUCGGACAUUAUUGCUCAGACUUUUAAGGAAUUACCUUUGUUCUGUUUUAAAAUUCUUGCAGUUUAUAUGCUUAAGUGUUGUCAUCUUGUCAAAACCAUAAGUAAAUAGUUUUCCCCCCAUUAUGUGAGAACAUUUUCUCUCAAAUAAUUUGUGAUUUUUAAAAGGCAUAGCUUGCUGGUACAUUGUUAUAUGGGUUUUGGUAAAAAGUACAUUAAAGACUUUGACAUGUGAUUCUGUGGGAGAGCUGUAAAGUGCAUUGGAGUUUUGCAUGUGAUAUUACUGACUUUUUUGGGGAACAUUACUGACUUCAAAAGAAGUUUAUGAAUUUUCUUGUUUUUAGCCUUUUAUUUUUCCUUUUCUAUUCUUCUUUCAUAUCAAGCACUUUACAAAUUGCUUAUGGUAUCUUGGGUGUGGGAGAUCUUCUUUUCAAAAUAUUUGAUAUCUCUAUUGUGAGUUAACAUGUGAAUACCAGUAUACCAUGCUGUAAUGAAGUUAAUGGGUGAAGACAUGCUUUUGUGGAAAUAUUGAUUGGUUGUGACUGGAGAAGCAUUUUAGUUUCCAUACUUGCUGGAAUUGUAAUUUUGUCGGCCACUUCUCAUAUUAUCCGAAAAAGUAGUAGUAUGGUAUUUUAUCAUUAAUCAACAUCCACGCAAACUUCACAGGCACUCCCAUAUAUUAAAAGAUUUUAUCACGUAUAGCUGGACAUUUAUAGGCUAAAAUUGGUUGGCACCAAUUAUCAACCCCAAUAGUUUAGUAUGGAAAAGCGAUGCCACUAAUUUUGUUCUGAAAUAUUUUGGGUUUAUUACAAUUUAGUAUAUAGAUCUGAAAGUUGUGGCUAUCAAUCAUCAAGAUUUUGUGCCUGAUGCAAGCAAUUUUAGCCUACUUGGGAGAUAACGAUGUUGAUUUUUUAGAAGUUUUAUGUAUCCUUUACGUGGAAAGCUGGUGCACUUUAGAUGCAUAUAUAUCCUGCCAUGUGACAUGGCAAGACAGCUGCAAUCAGUUGGCAUUCUUCAUUUUAGUCUGUGCUGUCGUUUAUCUUUUGGUACAAUAAAUGUGGCUGUAAGAGUAUUUCUGCUGGGUUAGCUUUCCACAGAAAGAACCUUGAUGUCAUCCUGUAGGAAUUAGGGCUAGGGCGUAUGAUUCUCAAAUUUGCUCUCAGUGUGUUUCAAUUGAAGAUUGUUUGGAGAAUGUUAGUUACAAUUUACUGUCGCUAUUUUUUGGUGUGAUGUUUGUGAGAUGAAAGGGUGAUAGACAAGAUUAAAAAAAAAAGUGACUGGAAAAAGUCAUGAUUACUGUAUGUCAGACUGCUGGUGAUGUUAAUGUUCUCUUAUUCAAAUUUUUGAUGGCUUAGAAAAUUGUAAGAACAAAGCACGGUUUUAGCUGCCUUAGUCAGUAUGAGUUUGAGUAGGCUUGGCUGGCUUAGAAGUGUCAUUCAAACUGGAGUAGGGCUUAGUCUCGGAUGCAAAGUUCCUUGUUGGCAAAUUUUUGUCUCGAUGUUAUGCUGCUUCGGUUGCUGCUACUGCCAAGGGCUAGCUGCUGUCUAGUUUCUUGUUACUUGUCAACACUAACAUGUUUUGCAUUGUCCUACAGGGACAUCUCCACACCUAUAGAUUCUGUGACAAUGUUUGGACUUUCAUCUUACAAGAUGCUCAUUUCAAGAGUGAUGAAUGUCAAGAGACUGUCAGCCGUGUUAAGAUAGUGGCAUGUGACUCGAAGCUGCUGACACAGUGAGAAAGCUGCAUACUGGGCCGAUAUUGAGUAAUAUUAGCUGCUGAUGUCACCUAUUUGCCAGAUGGUGCAAAAGACUGGUAAGAGGAGUUGGCGGAAGGGAUAUGGAAGCUCAUUCAUGUAGUUGUAUUUGUAAGUGAGGGGGAAACUGGAACUCUCAUUGUAUAAAUCCCAGAUCAUUGUAAACUGAGUGUUUCUUGACUACUUGACAUAUACAUAUUGGAUAGUCUUUAAUUCUUUCUUCAUUCUUGAGAAGGUGGUUCGAUUUCAUAGCAUGUUUCUGUGUUUUUGUUCAAUAGAAAACCAGCGUGCUUGUUGUUGUGAGGUCUAGUUGCAUUUUGUGGAUAUCUGAGCAGAGCUGCGAAGAUGCUAGCGAUAAACUUUGCAUUAUGCUGCUUUAUUCUUGGAACUACUUUCAUUCAACAGAAACAAAGACCAUUAGAUGGAUGGCUGGAUUGAAUUUGUUUUCCUUCCCCGUUUUAUUGACAUCCCUGUGAGCUCUUCUUCUGUUCCAUCCUCUUUCUUGUGAUUAUUCCUCUGAAAUUAAGCAUCAGGAAGCAUGGAGCCAUCAGUCGAAUGUU